rnacentral:rRNA from 1 species
UACGUAGGGUGCGAGCGUUGAUCGGAAUUACUGGGCGUAAAGCGUGCGCAGGCGGUGAUGUAAGACAGGUGUGAAAUCCCCGGGCUUAACCUGGGAACUGCAUUUGUGACUGCAUCGCUGGAGUGCGGCAGAGGGGGAUGGAAUUCCGCGUGUAGCAGUGAAAUGCGUAGAUAUGCGGAGGAACACCGAUGGCGAAGGCAAUCCCCUGGGCCUGCACUGACGCUCAUGCACGAAAGCGUGGGGAGCAAACAGG